GAUGAACGCUGGCGGCGUGCUUAACACAUGCAAGUCGAACGGAAAGGCUCCUGCUUGCAGGGGUACUCGAGUGGCGAACGGGUGAGUAACACGUGGGUGAUCUGCCCCGCACUUCGGGAUAAGCCUGGGAAACUGGGUCUAAUACCGGAUAGGACGAUGGUUUGGAUGCCAUUGUGGAAAGUUUUUCGGUGUGGGAUGAGCUCGCGGCCUAUCAGCUUGUUGGUGGGGUAAUGGCCUACCAAGGCGUCGACGGGUAGCCGGCCUGAGAGGGUGUACGGCCACAUUGGGACUGAGAUACGGCCCAGACUCCUACGGGAGGCAGCAGUGGGGAAUAUUGCACAAUGGGCGCAAGCCUGAUGCAGCGACGCCGCGUGGGGGAUGACGGCCUUCGGGUUGUAAACUCCUUUCGCUAGGGACGAAGCGUUUUGUGACGGUACCUGGAGAAGAAGCACCGGCUAACUACGUG
rnacentral:rRNA from 1 species